UAGGGAAUCUUCCACAAUGGACGAAAGUCUGAUGGAGCAACGCCGCGUGAGUGAAGAAGGUUUUCGGAUCGUAAAGCUCUGUUGUUGGUGAAGAAGGAUAGAGGCAGUAACUGGUCUUUAUUUGACGGUAAUCAACCAGAAAGUUCACGGCUAACUACGUGCCAG
rnacentral:rRNA from 1 species